UACGUAGGGUGCGAGCGUUAAUCGGAAUUACUGGGCGUAAAGCGUGCGCAGGCGGUCUGUUAAGACCGAUGUGAAAUCCCCGGGCUUAACCUGGGAACUGCAUUGGUGACUGGCAGGCUUUGAGUGUGGCAGAGGGAGGUAGAAUUCCACGUGUAGCAGUGAAAAUGCGUAGAGAUGUGGAGGAAUACCGAUGGCGAAGGCAGCCUCCUGGGCCAACACUGACGCUCAUGCACGAAAGCGUGGGGAGCAAACAGG
rnacentral:rRNA from 1 species